GUGUCCCCUGGAGUUCCUCUGAGCACUUCACCGGGGAUCCUUGGUUUUCCGAUUCCUACUGAAGUGUUUGGGAAACUCCCGGUGUCAU
rnacentral:pre_miRNA from 1 species